GCCUUUUCCGAGCGCAUAAAACUACUCAACCAAAUCUAAAAUGAAGAUAAUCAAUUUGUACGAUCAAACAAACAUUGGUAACGGAGACAUGAAUGUACGUUUUAAGUCCAAUCGUACAAAAUUUAUCCAGGUGAAUGAAUCUGAAUCAAUUUUGAGUCAUCGUUUAUUAAGUAAUGUCAACAAUUUAGCGCCCUUGUGAUAACUAUCAACCUCUCAGUGCAAAAUUCGAUAAACAGAACAUAUUAUCAACUACGUGUUGUAGUACCCAGUUAAUUAUCUUGCUUUCUUCCAAACAAACUUAUUCAUGUGAAGGUAUCUCGCUCGAGUUCUUUGUGAAUGAACAAAGCAAAAGGCUUCAACUGCACAUUUCGUAGCGUAGCGCAUGGAUGCUUAAACAAGCAACAAGUCUAGGCGAGGCUGAAUACGGCUUUCUAGAUAAGCUCAGUACCCACUUGAUGAUAACCAUCAGUGCAAAAUAAGUUUUCACCGGAAACGUUUCACACUCAAGAGCCGUACCAGUUUCUACGAGGUUAGCUUGGCUGGACUAGAACUAAACAAACUUGAUUCGAGGAUGAAUGCCGAUUUUCGAAACUUUGCUUUUCAACUGUUGCCGGUGUUGACGAGCUCAGCUACCCAAAGUGAAAGGGAACAAUUCCGGUACCUAGCCGAAUAUCUACAUCAACGCUUGUCUUUGCAACACUCCGACAGCACAACGAUGGAAGAUUUUGUGGCUAUUUUGGUAUCCAAACUUCGUGGGGAUUGCGUUUCGCCCUUUAUAGAGUAUCGAUGCAAAACUUUUGCACAUUUUUUAGAUCUUUUAGAUACUGUAUUUUACUGAAUCGAAUAUCAUCUUCCUAUAUCAAUUUACGACUAUUGGGCUGAGAGAGAUUUUUUUAACGAUUGUAAUUUUCGUGAUUAUUAAGCUGUGUGUUUUGCAGAAGACCAGUGUUAAACUCGAUUAAAAAUUAUUAUUGUCAUUCAACUUAAAAUUCAUCUCAUGUCAUUAACCUGGAUUUAGCAAAAUUGUCCACUAUGUAGGUAGGGUAGCAGACCACACCAGGAAUUUGUCAUCGAAAAAUAUCAUGUCCUUUAAAAAAAUUUAGGUAAAACAUAUUUUUCUUUAUUGUUUACAAACAGCAUCGGCUAAAAUCGAACUAGUAGUGUGUUCUACAAAUAAGUUAGUUUUACUCACAAAGUUUUGUUUUGAGUUUUGCGCUUGUGAAAAAAAAUCAUACAUUCGUAGAGUUAAGAUAAAGGUCAGUCACUUGUUUCGAAUUACAGAACAAAUCAAAAACAAAUAUUAAUUAUAAAAUAAGUUCAAGCAUGAGUUCA